AUUGAACGCUGGCGGCAGGCCUAACACAUGCAAGUCGAGCGGUAGCGGGAAAGUAGCUUGCUACUUUUGCCGGCGAGCGGCGGACGGGUGAGUAAUGCCUGGGGAUCUGCCCAGUCGAGGGGGAUAACUACUGGAAACGGUAGCUAAUACCGCAUACGCCCUACGGGGGAAAGCAGGGGACCUUCGGGCCUUGCGCGAUUGGAUGAACCCAGGUGGGAUUAGCUAGUUGGUGAGGUAAUGGCUCACCAAGGCGACGAUCCCUAGCUGGUCUGGGAGGAGGAUCAGCCACACUGGAACUGAGACACGGUCCAGACUCCUACGGGAGGCAGCAGUGGGGAAUAUUGCACAAUGGGGGAAACCCUGAUGCAGCCAUGCCGCGUGUGUGAAGAAGGCCUUCGGGUUGUAAAGCACUUUCAGCGAGGAGGAAAGGUUGGUAGCUAAUAACUGCCAGCUGUGACGUUACUCGCAGAAGAAGCACCGGCUAACUCCGUGCCAGCAGCCGCGGUAA
rnacentral:rRNA from 1 species